UCGUUUGGCUUCCGUCGUGACCUCUGUGUGGCGUCAAUGUUGGUAUGUCAUAGUCCCCUGUGACGCGUAGGCCCUAUCACAGCCAACCUUGAUGAGCCUUUCAGAGGUAUCUCUCAGCACUGCCUCCUU
rnacentral:precursor_RNA from 8 species